GACGAACGCUGGCGGCGUGCUUAACACAUGCAAGUCGAACGGAAAGGCCCUGCUUUUGUGGGGUGCUCGAGUGGCGAACGGGUGAGUAACACGUGAGUAACCUGCCCUUGACUUUGGGAUAACUUCAGGAAACUGGGGCUAAUACCGGAUAGGAGCUCCUGCUGCAUGGUGGGGGUUGGAAAGUUUCGGCGGUUGGGGAUGGACUCGCGGCUUAUCAGCUUGUUGGUGGGGUAGUGGCUUACCAAGGCUUUGACGGGUAGCCGGCCUGAGAGGGUGACCGGCCACAUUGGGACUGAGAUAGGGCCCAGACUCCUACGGGAGGCAGCAGUGGGGAAUAUUGCACAAUGGGCGGAAGCCUGAUGAAGCAACGCCGCGUGCGGGAUGACGGCCUUCGGGUUGUAAACCGCUUCCGCCUGUGACGAAGCGUGAGUGACGGUAAUGGGUAAAGAAGCACCGGCUAACUACGUG
rnacentral:rRNA from 1 species